rnacentral:rRNA from 1 species
GACGAACGCUGGCGGCGUGCCUAAUACAUGCAAGUCGAGCGCAGGAAACUGACGGAACUCUUCGGAGGGAAGGCAGUGGAAUGAGCGGCGGACGGGUGAGUAACACGUAAGGAACCUGCCUCAAGGAUUGGGAUAACUCCGAGAAAUCGGAGCUAAUACCGGAUAGUUCAACGGACCGCAUGGUCCGCUGAUGAAAGGCGCUCCGGCGUCACCUUGAGAUGGCCUUGCGGUGCAUUAGCUAGUUGGUGGGGUAACGGCCCACCAAGGCGGCGAUGCAUAGCCGACCUGAGAGGGUGGUCGGCCACACUGGGACUGAGACACGGCCCAGACCCCUACGGGAGGCAGCAGUAGGGAAUCUUCCACAAUGGACGAAAGUCUGAUGGAGCAACGCCGCGUGAGUGAUGAAGGUUUUCGGAUCGUAAAACUCUGUUGUAAGGGAAGAACACGUACGAGAGGAAAUGCUCGUACCUUGACGGUACCUUACGAGAAAGCCACGGCUAACUACGUGCCAGCCGCCGCGGUAAUAC